GCCGGAGUAGCUCAGUUGGUAGAGCAACGCAUUCGUAAUGCGUGGGUCGGGGGUUCGACUCCCUUCUCCGGCACCA
rnacentral:tRNA from 2 species